GUUCGGAUUGUAGUCUGCAACCCGACUACAUGAAGCUGGAAUCGCUAGUAAUCGCGGAUCAGAAUGCCGCGGUGAAUACGUUCCCGGGUCUUGUACACACCGCCCGUCACACCAUGGGAGUCGGAAAUGCCCGAAGUCUGUGACCCAACCUUAGGGAGGGAGCUGUCGAAGGUGGAGCCGGUAACUGGGGUGAAGUCGUAACAAGGUACC
rnacentral:rRNA from 1 species